rnacentral:lncRNA from 1 species
GAUGAUUAAACAUGUAUAGUACAAUGGAUGAUACAAUAAUAAUAUAUAAAACCCAUACAAUAUGAAUGCAUUCAUUAUUGGAAACCCUUGAGUACCUCUUUAAGCAUAGGUCUUUUAUGUUCAUAUCUCUAAUCCAACUCACCUAAACUAUUAUAAACCCAAAAAAUAAGAAACAAGGACACACAUGGUUGGAAAUUUGGAAGAUGAAAUUGCAAAGUAAAAGAGAAGUAUCAAAAUGAAAACAGGAACAAGGAGAAGUGGCAAAGGUGGUGGUGGUAGUGGUGGCAACACCGCCGGAAGCACAAGAAUAGACAAAGUGAGAAGAGCCAAAACCAUGAUAACAUGCAUCUACUACUUUCCUUCAGAACCAUAUAUUAUAAAGGACUUGUGGUGUGUCCACCAAUUACAAUCAUAUGCAAAACUAAUCUUAUAUAAAUUUGUCAGCCCAAUUCACAAAUCUAUUGAUUGAUGCAUUUGAUAAAUAAUGAGUGUAUGUAUUGAUUUUGGAGAGUGGCUAGGAGGUAGAGUGAUGAUGGCUAUAUUGCAGCUACCAAAGAAGGGCAACAUAAAUUUAUACUUGAAUCUUUUGAAUAUGCAUGGGAUAGGGUUUAGUUUCCUGCUUUAUGUGAAAAGACUUUAUUGAUAGGAAAAAAAUGGUAGGACACCCUUUAUGAAAGAAGGGUCUUUGUGUGUAAGUGAAAGGGAAUAAGAAUGAAAGAAGGUUAGCUAGAGAAUAGAGAGGUAGGAGAAGAGGGGAGGUUUUAUUAGGUAUAGACUAGUAAUGAU